rnacentral:lncRNA from 1 species
ACUAGGCAGCCCGAGCUGGCCUUGAACUCAAAAUUCUCCUGCCUCAGUCUGCCCGGCACUGAAAUUACAGACAGGUAUGGAUGUCAUGAGUUCAUUCUCCAACUGGAAAUACUGAGAGACAGGGAGGUCAUCACGGGCAGGCCAGUGUGCGGCUGUCGGUGAGACAGCAGUGGGACCUGGGGCAAGGGGUGUGGAUGACACCAGGAGUCCUGACUGAGGGAGGUCUCGAGACAACAACAUCGGAACUAGAUCUGAAGGGGCCACGAAAGCAGCUGGCCCUCAGCUGUGUGCCCUGUAGACACUCUGUUGUGGGAUCCAGGAGCAGAACUGGGAAGUUAAGGGGGAGGGGACUGUCAUAUUCGCAGAGGGUCAUGGUUGCCCUCGGCCUUGAGUGGCCUCCAGUCUGGUGAG